UAAAGAAAAGGGAAACUUACCUUUAGGAGGGAGCCGUUUGUUCACGUUCCUGGCUCGCGCUGGCUCCAUAGCUGGCUAGUCUGAAAGAAGAGCGGCUUUAACAGUCAGGGAACACUAACGGCCUGCAAGAGAGUCAAAUGAAGCCGCGCGUCAGUGUGAUUAUAUGUUAUGUGAAACAUACUGUUGGAUGUCAACUCCCCCAAAACCAUAAAACUUACUUUAAUGGCACCACGUGACCAUUUAUGGCCAGUGAGCCUAUCUGUCGCGGCUGUGGAUGAUUUUACGAUCUAAUUCAUAGACAAACCCCCAUUCAUUUGGCACCCAAAUGUCAUGCAGCCGGAACUGGGCUAAUAAAGUUUACAGCUCUAAACUUAAAUAGAUUCCCUGAGAAAGCCCAGCUCGAGCUGCGGCGCACUGCCUCUCCAGCCAGUAAUUGGUCAGCACGGUUUAAGCCCAGCGCACGAGGAGGCGGCGACGGCGGAAUCGGGACCGGAACCGGGACCGGGACCGUCGGCCUUGUGGUCUUUCUUCCACUUCAUCCUCCGGUUCUGAAACCAGAUCUUGAUCUGGCGCUCCGUCAGGCACAGCGCGUGCGCUAUCUCGAUGCGCCUCCUGCGGGUCAGGUACCGGUUGAAGUGGAACUCCUUCUCCAGCUCGAGCGUCUGGUACCGCGAGUACGUCUGGCGACCUCGCUUCCUCUCCGGAUCUGCACAAGUUAAAAAAAAAAAAAAAAACAUGGCGCCCAAAUUGUCCAGGGUGAACGACAUCCACGGAAUUAGGGAAACAAGGAGAUACCCUCUCCCUCCGCCACGGUGCAUUUCGAAACACGAAGUCACAGAGCCGAACGAAACGACAAAGUAGCCUGUCAAUAUUUCCAAAAGUGUAGCUUACAAACCAACGAGGUAGCCUACGCAUUGACAGCUAAACUCAGUAGGCUAAUCACGCUCCUGUUUGAGAGAAAUGGCAAUAAACAUGUUUUCCACUGAC